UUCUUGAAAAUCUCGCAAAACCUCUCCUCUCCGGAGUUGUUUUUCGGCUCCGCUGAGUUUCAUGUUGAGGAAAUAAAGCUGUCACCGCCUCCACACAGCACCAUGAAGCUGUUUGUCUCUGUGACCACACUCUGUCCUGCAUAUGUUCGAUUUUAUUGAAUAUCACCAUCAGUAUGAAUUUGGUAUCUGUGUGUCACACAGAGCCUGGCAGUUGAAGCGAACUCUCACAACCCUCCAGUGGAGCUCCUCACUAUCGACUUCACCGGUUGCAGAGUGUCGAGAAUCACUUCGCGGACUCCUCCCAGCACCCAAAGGCGAGUGUAGGCUAGUGAGCCAAUAGGCUGUAUCUCAUCUGAUCCUACUACUGACGAUAGACUGUUUGCUCGAGGAAAACUUGGUCGACACGGAGGAGGCUGUGAGGACUCUUCUUUUGCUCGGCGUUUUGUUGCCAGCCACGCUGUUUUUUUUAUUGAGUUGGAAGUUAUCUGCCUUCACAAAGCAUUUCACAGGACAUGUCGAUGUGAUCACAACCUUUUACGCUGCUGUUCAGAGGACUCUGCUGCCUCUGUCUGGAUCGACAGGCUUUGCUGGGACGGAGAGAGACUCGCUGUAAUCUGCGGAGGAUUUUAGGCUAUACACUUCCUCGGUGAAGCAGUUCAAAACUCUCAAUUUCAAAUCAGUCUGUGUGCAAUGAAGUUUCUAAGAAAUACCAUUUUAACCAUGACGAGCCUGCACAGUUUAAUAGCCCAAAGUGGAGGGAAUUCAGGGUGACAACAAAUGUCGGACAAAUGCGCAGCCUAGAUCGGAGAAUCCAUUUCUCCGACCGAGGCUCACGGGAACAGCAGCGGCUUCGCGCACGCGCAAUUCAUUUUCAGUCUGGACGCGGAGUGGUGCGGAUCUCCUCUCUGCUCUGACUGCAGCUACGACUGCUGCGCGACGCUACUGUGAGACUGACCGCCUGUGAGCGCUUUAGGACGGUGAAGGGGCUCACGGCAGCACCCGCUGUUCGUUGAGGACAGUAACUUCAGAGCGAUUCGUGCUUUCACGUCAAAGUCUCCAAUAACACAUGAAAAAGGCGCUGGAUUUGUCGCUGGAGGCUUUUGACAAAAAAAAAAGUCGCCAAGAGGAUUUGAAAAGACAUGUCGAUGUGAUCACAUCCUUGUACGCUGCUGUUCAGAGGACUCUGCUGCCUCUGUCUGGAUCGACAAGUUUUGCUGAGACGGAGAGAGACUCGCUGUAAUCUGCGGAGGCAUUUCCUAAUCUAAUCAGUGAAAAAUUCUAAAAUGAACAGUCUGUGUGUAAUAAAGUGUCUAAGAAAUAGCCUAA